rnacentral:lncRNA from 1 species
UUUUUUUUUUUUCUUUUUUAUAUUUAACCCUCCAAACAUUUAAUUUUUUUUCUUCGGAAUUUGCAAACUUCCGCACAUAAUUUAAAUUUUUCAUAUCAUAUCGCAAUAUUUUGACGAUAAAUAAAAUAAAAUCUCAUCCAUCUAUUUCUUUAUGUCAUACGCAAAUAUUUGUCCUCACAUUCCUCACUAAUUCUUGAGUCCUCAUCCGAUCAUAUACAUAUACAUNNNNNNNNNNNNNNNNNNNNNNNNNNNNNNNNNNNNNNNNNNNNNNNNNNNNNNNNNNNNNNNNNNNNNNNNNNNNNNNNNNNNNNNNNAUAUAAACAAUAAGAUAUAUAAGUAUUAGGUACUCAAACUCACCAUACUACAUUGCUCUUGAAUUAUAUAUGCAUUGUAAUCGUCCAAAGUUCUUAACAUUCAAUUCGUAACUUGAUUUGCUUCCAAAUUUUUAAGAAAUUUAACCACUAUCUUCCUCUUACAUAAUUUUCAUUUGCAACUAUAAUAUAUUUAGCUUAGUAGGUGUUCGGCAGAAAGAUAUGGUGUACAAAGAAGAUAAUGGUAGAGGUAAGCAUGGGUCGUUAUAAGUCGGUUUUUAUGUAAAACCGACUUAUCGAUUUUCAAAAAGUUAGAACCCAAUCCAAUAUCUAAACUGUUGGGUUCAGUUUGUUGGUUUUCCAUAUCAGUUUUUAUGUAAAACCGACUUAUCGUUGAGCGUACGCUGCAUGAGGCCCGAUUUAGAUUGUGAGUAUGUCGAGCGUACGUGCCGAGUACGUUGAGCGUACUUGGUCUGUGUUGGCCAAGUUUGAACGUUGGCUUUUUGACAAAAUUUGGUCUUGGGGGCUUUUUGAGUAUUUUGGAUUAUCAGUAUGUAAUUGGGUCACCGUUUAUUGUUUAAGCGAGCGGUAGAGUCGGUGUGAGUAGCGGAGAUCUGUGCAGUCAUCCUUUUGAUUGUGAGGUGAGUUCUCUCACUAUGUCGACGAGUACAAGGCACCAAAGUCGACCCAUUUAUUGAAUUUAUAUAUCAUAAGAUGUAGGAUUGCUAUGAUAGUUAUAUGUGUGAUUUGUCUGUGUAUAUAUCGACAUGUAGAUGGUUAGGUUGAGGCCACGUGCCAACAAACCUAAUAUGGCUGGGUUGAGAUUGGAGGUUAAGAAACCCGAUAUGGUAAGGUUGAGGCCACGUGCCAACAAACCUGGAUUAUUGGGUUGACGCCAUGUGCCAACAAACCGUGGAUGGUGGAGUUGAGGUUUUACUGCUCGGUGUUGUAAACCAACAAACCCAAUAUGGUUGGGUUAGGUAAAGGACCAACAAACCUUGUAUGCAUGCUUGUAUUGUAUAUGUAUUUGUGUGUGGUGUGGGAAUUUUGGGAAGCUCGUGAAAAUUUGGCUUACAGUUUGGAUUUCAAUGUUUCAGGUACUUCCGAUAAGCGGAGGAAAACGAAGGCGUAACUAUACACAUCAUCCCACGGUUUAUGUUGAUCGAUACUCUGACUUAUUAUGAUUUGUAAAUAAUGUUUUGAUACUUUGAUUCAAAAUUGUGGGUCUAAAAUUAUUUUUUCACUUAUCUCUGUCUUUACUAUCGACGUAUUCUCUCCUUCGUCUUCUCCCUCCGACGAAGCUGAUGAACCCUAACUAGGGGUGAAAGCGUCAUCUGACAACAAAAUUUAUUCCCACUCCCCCUUAAACUCGAGAACACAUUUAUCUUUUCCACAUUCUCCUUCCAUAUACUUCACUCCUUUCCUUCCCCUUAUUUCUCUUCCCACUCCUCAAUUUUUAUUCAAGAGAACAAUUAGUAAUUUGUUGAAAGUUAAAAAAUUACGGAGGCUUAAAUUAAUAUGAUGUAAAUAUUUUUUUGAUAUAUAUCUUAAAACAUAUUCAUUUGGAUGACGAGCCUAGUGAAAAAAAUAUAACAUGACAAUUUUUUUUUAAAUAUUCUAUUAUAAUGUUUAUAUUCAAAUAAUGAAUGUAAAUUUAUUCGAAAAGCGUAAACCAACAAAUAUAAAAAAAACUUGAUGGAGUAGAUGCUUCGAACCCAUAAUCACCGCAUAUGUUUAAAAGAUUUGAAUUUCAAUCCAAUUUAAGUUCUAGAAAGAUUUUACCGCCAGAAAUUGAAACCUCCUUAAAAAUUUCGAGAUCCGCUACAUCCACCGUUCAAUCGCACUCUAAAAACCAACGGCCACUAAACACGAUCCGCGUCAGUCUAAUCCAACCAAUAAGAUCAGUUUUACACAGCCUAUAUAAACACAUCCCCAACGCAUCAACAAACACAUCCAAGCUUUCGUAUUCCUCUUAUACAAACACAUCCUCUCGAUUUCCAUUUUCACUUCAACUCUAACAUUAGCAAUGGCACCAAAGGCAGCUGCCGGAAAGAAACCAGUGGCGGAAAAGACUCCAGCUGAGAAGGUACCAGCAGAGAAGAAGCCUAAGGCAGAGAAGAAACUCCCAAAAGACGCAUCGGCAGCAGAUAAGAAGAAGAAGAGACACAAGAAAUCAGUCGAGACCUACAAGAUCUACAUCUUUAAGGUUUUGAAGCAGGUUCACCCUGACAUUGGUAUCUCUAGUAAGGCAAUGGGCAUCAUGAACUCAUUCAUCAACGACAUUUUCGAGAAGCUCGCUCAGGAGGCAUCUAAGCUUGCAAGGUACAACAAGAAGCACACUCUUUCUUCGAGGGAGAUUCAAACUGCAGUCAGACUUGUACUUCCUGGGGAGUUGGCUAAGCAUGCUGUGUCUGAAGGUACCAAGGCUGUGACAAAGUUCACUAGCGGUUAGAUUGUCUUGAUCUGUUGGUAGCUAUUGCAACAUGGUUUUUGUUUGUUUUUGUGAUCUAUGAUGUAAGUACUUUGUAGUGGAAAAGUUCUUGAAUUGAAAUGAAACUAUCUUGUUUCGGCAAUGGAAGGCUUUGUUUAAUCGGCCAUAUUAUAUUUACUUUUGAUUGGUUUGUUUGUCUGAAAUGAAAUUAGGAUGAUAUUGUUCGUUGAUAUCUAUUUUGUUAGUGUUUUGUAUCAAUUAGUUUUCACUUCCAACAGUGUUUGUGUUUAUGCCUGAGACGAUCCAGUUGAAAGCUUCAACAAAUUUGUAUCGUUUUUCUAGUUUUCAUUCACAGCAACACUUGGGAGAUGAAACUUCGAUUAUUUUAAAUAUGUUGUCGACCAGUUUUUCUCUGAAGAAUCCGGUGAUACGAUCGUUUGUAGAUGUCUAAAUGUUAAUUUUUGUAAAAAAACGGAAAUCGAAAAACUUUUGUUAUAAACUCUUUAACAGAAACAUAUGAUGACGGAUAUGGUGAAAAAAAAUAUAAACAUUAUGUUUAAAGAGUUUUGAAAAAACUAUUACAACAGAAAAAUAUUAUAAUUUAUGAAAUCACCAUUAUACCCAUUAUGCUAAAAAAAAAUACCAAAAAACUGACAUUAUUUCUGUAAGGGAAAAAAAGUCAAAUAAUUUCUUUAUAAUUUUUGAAAAAACAAAAACAAAUGAUAAAAAAAUAGAAACAAAUACGUUAUCUCUCUUGGUAUCUUUUUCUACGAAUAGAGAGUGAAAAUGAAUUAUAAUAAAUGAAUAUCUAUUUUGUCGCUUUUCAAUCUUCAUUAAUUUUGAUACUUGUUAUUUUAUAAUAUUUUCGAAAUUAAAUAAUAUAUACAUGUCAAUUCGUAGGUUUUUUUAAUUUUAAAAUUAAAAAGUCACAUAAUAGUUAUAUAUGCAAAAUAUUAAAUGUAAUAAACACGAUAUCAGACCCGUCCCAGAAGGUAGGCGAUAGGGACGACAGUUCAGGGCCCAUUUUUCAAAAGGCCCAAAUUUUUUAUGAAAAUUAUUAUAUUUAAAAGAUAAUACAAGUAAAUUUUUCCAGUUAUUGAGUUAUUAUAAAAAACUUGAUGCCAUUUAUGUAUUUUAAGGACCUAUUUUUUUCAAUCGCCCUGCGCCCAAAAUAUAUUUGGAACGGCCCUGCACGAUAUUAAUUGUAAUUAAAACAUUUUUUCUUUCUUUGUUUCAAAAUUUUAUUUAAAAAAAAUAGUUAAUGUUUAAUUUUAAUAUUUAACUUUUUUAUCAACCUGUAUAAUACACGGGUUUACAUCUAGUAGGAUGAUAUAAAAAACUCAAAUCCACGUUAACAUGCAAGUUAUAUAAAAUAUAAUGGACAAAACAUCAAAUUUAGUCCUUGUGGUUUGUAAAAACUUUGGAUAGGGUCUAAAAAGUUUUCGACUUGCAUGGAAGGUCGAAAAUCAAAACUUUUCUGUGAAUUUGGUCCAAAUAAAUAUGAAAAGACUAUUUUGCCCUUAUUAUUUCUUUUUUACAUUUUCUGUGUUUAUUUUGAUUGUUUUAAAAUAAAAGAAAAAAAAGCGGGCAUGACUAUUUGACCACACAAUACCCACCCCACAUCUCCCCCCCCUCACUCUCUCAUCAAAAAGACUUCCAUGAUCAAUUCGUUUCCAUAGAUAUCACCUUCCUUUCCCGUCAAGAUGUCAUACAACAGUCGUUGACCCUUCUCGCCGUUAAGUUUCUUACCUGACACUGCCUCCAUUCCCCCUUCUUCUUCUCGAGCCGAUAGGUUUAAGUUUUGGAGCUUGAAGCCUGCCAUCUAGACCAAAACCUCGAUAAGUUCGACAACGGUGAAUCCGAUAGCAAAUUCGACAGCUUCAAACAUGUUAACUUGUAACAGCCUACUAAUCUCUUUCCCUCAUCUAUCGAAAUCUUCUAAGGUUCCAUUUUAGAUUUGAUUUUGUGUUUUCUGAAAAUUUCUAGGUUAGCUAAAAAUUUUGAUUUUCAAUUUCUACAAUUGGUGUUUAUUAUUAUGUGGGUGGGUGUAGAUUUUGUGGUGAAGAGAUUUUCUGGGAUCCAUUCAUUAUCUCAAAGACUUUGUGAGUUUCAAUUUCUGCAACUUUUGUUCAAUUUCAGCAAUUUGUGUUUAUUAAUGAGGGAUUGGGAGUUUUUUUUUAAUGCAUAUUACUGGUGAAGAACAAAUGAUUGAAUUUUAUAAACAUUAGAAUCACCCACUUCAUGAUGCAUAUUCUAAAAACCCAUGAGCUUUUACGCAUUUUUAUCAGGUGGAAUCCCUGACUGUGAUGUGUAGAUGUAAGCGUGAUUGAAUCGAUUGGUGUUAAUGUGCAACCGUCAAAUUCUGGUUAAUUCAAAGUCAAAUAAAGUCAACAAGUCAAACCGAUCAACCCAACUAACCCUUGUGUACUAUGGCUUACGUUAUGUAAUUGCUAAACAACUCGCUAUUCUAAUAAGAGAUCAUAAAUCGAAAAGUAUGUACGUCUAGAUCUCCUUAACCUAAAACAGUGGUAAGUGACGAGCCAAACCGAUAAAACAAUGAUACAUACUCAUCGGGAGUGUGUAGGAUCUUUAAACAAGGCUUAACAGGGUUUACGGACCUUGCAUUGCGAAGCCGGACACUCAAAAAAAGGUUACCAAUGAAACCCCUCUCAAUCGUUUUCACUCUAUCUCUUUUUGUCGAGAAUCUCUCCCGAAUCUCUCUUGGUAUGUAAAAUCUCUCCAAGAAUGUCAAAUCUCUCUAAGUAUGAGAAAUCUCUCCCAAAUAUCUCCUCGUAGGAUAAAUCUCUCCAAGAAUGUCAAACCUCUCUAAGUAUGAGAAAUCUCUCCCAAAUAUCUCCUUGUAUGUAAAAUCUCUUCAAGAAUGUCGAAUCUCUCUAAGUAUGAGAAAUCUCUCCCAAAUAUCUCCUUGUAGGAGAAAUCUCUCCAAGAAUGUCAAAUCUCUCCCAAAUCUCUCUAAGUAUGAGAAAUCUCUCCCAAAUAUCUCCUUGUAGGAGAAAUCUCUCCAAGUAUGACAAAUCUCUCCCAAAUCUCUCUCAAAAUCUCUCUCAACUUUCUAUAGUCACUCGGGGCAUCCCGACCCUCGAAUUUGGCGAAAACAGCCAAAAAACAGAAGUCUACGCGAAAAACGGACUUAAGGAGCCGAAACCCCUCUUAGGACCCGAAAGUCCUCUUAGGACCCGAAACCUCUCUUAGGGGCCGAAGGUCCUCCUGGAACCGAACCUCGCAUAUCACCCGAACCCGAACCUUCGGUCCAUUUCGGAUCCUGAUGCUUCGGACCGAGCCCUCGCCUUCGCUUCUCGCUUCUGGUUCGCCCCAUCUCGCCUCCGGCUCGGCAUCAUUAGGGACCGAACCUCGGCCUAGGACCGAGAGGUCUAGCUGGAAGUCAUUUUUCUCCCGGUUUUCGACUAAUUUUGCGUUUUAGCUUCGUUUUUAAUUGUUUUAACACGGGAUUUUCGCUCAAACUUUAUUUUAACAUAUAAGACCCCUUUAAUUAAUGAUUUAUCACGUUUCUAAGGAUAAAACCUUAUCCAAAAGAGUGGGUGAAGUACAAAGGUGUAGUGUUGACUUUCCUUUAUUUUAUGACACAAGCAACCUCCCAUACCCACUCCAUGUCACUAUUCCCCAUCAGCCCUUACAUAGUCACUUCAUUGUACUUUUCCCACCUUUUUCCAACCACACAAUUGGUCAAAGGCUAGAAAAGUCUCCGCUCUCUUCACUUCUCUCAUUUUCUCUCUUUUCACCAAAAAGAUCAAACUCUUUUCUCUCUCACUUCCUCUCUCUAGAAUUCAAGAUUUAAGGGUUGAUCUUGGGUUUUUCCUCCACAUUUGGUAAGCAAAAUCCACUCUCCUUAUGAUUAUUUCACUUCUUUCUACUCAAAUCAUGGAUAUCUUACACAGACUCCAUCAUAAUUGUGUUAGAUCUUCGAAUCUUCAAGUGAUUCUUCAAGUGUUCUUGGGUUGAACACUUCUCUUCUUCAACACUUAUCUUCUAAAAUCACUCAAGGUAAGUUCAUACCCCUACAUUUUCAUGUUUUCUCAAGUUUUCAGGGGGGAAUACAAGUUAAAACACCAAGAACAUAACUAAACUUUUCUAACAGCCCUCAUCAGAAAAGUUUAACUCCAUUCACGGACUGUUUUGGACAACUUAAUAAUUUUAGUUUUCAAAACUAUUUUAGGUGCAAGUAGUUCCACUUCUUAGCUUUAAAAUGACUACUUGCACAUCUCCACACGAUUUGUCUACAAUUUAUGGUGAUUUUUACAAAACAGCCUGUCUUUUCAAACACAAAUUCGGACCAGUCUGUGAAUAUGAGCAUUUUAAUACAAGUUAAAGGCUUCCAAAAAUCAUGAUAAAAAUUAUGAGUAAACUAGACACAAUUUAGGAACUCUCAGAAUUUACGGAUCUAGUUUUUGACUCCGUAUGAUUUUUUUAUGAAUUUUCUAAAACAGAAUAGAAAUGGCAAUACUAGAAAAAUGUUUUCAAUUUCAUAUACACCUUGUAACUUGUUGAGCAAGGUGUGUACCUUCAUGUGUUGAUGUGUUAUUACCAUAUAUGUCAUCUUGUCUUAUUAUAUAGACAUACAUCAGAAAACAAAUGGAUUCUUACCACCAUAAGUAUGGUAAAUAUAUAUAUGAUAAUAUAAGGCUAUAUCCAUUAAAAUACAAACAUUGGUAAACUAUGACAAGUAAGGCUUAUGCUCACUACCCACACAAAUAAUUAUGAUAAACUAUAAUAAGUAUAGUUAAGCCAUUAUACCCCCACAAACGAACAUGCUAGUUAUAAUCAGUAUAGUUAUGGCAUAUAUAUAUUACAAACAAAGUGAUAAACUAUAAUAGGUAUAGUUUAUGUUUCAUCUACACUACGAACUUAAUUACAAGAAAGGAUUUCACCAUCACCACCACCUUUGAUAAGCAAUAAUAUGCAUAGUUCAUGUUCACUACCACUAUCACUAUUUGAUGAACUAUGAUAUGUAUAGGUUAUAUUCACCAUCACCACCACUUUUGAUAAGCUAUAAUAUGCAUAGUUCAUGUUCACUACCACUAUCACUAUUUGAUGAACUAUGAUAUGUAUAGGUUAUAUUCACCAUCACAACCACUUUUGGUAAACUAUAAUAUGCAUAGUACAUGUUCACUAGUCACUAUCACUAUCCGAUGAACUAUGAUAUGUAUAGUUUAUGUUCACGGUCACUAUUACUAUUUCGUACACUACACUAGGAUUGGUUCCGGUUUUUUGGAUUUACGUCCACAUUCAAUAUCGCAUUGUUAGUUUUCAACUAUAAUUUCUAAGUGUAUAUGCUAGAGUUAUAUAGAACCUAGUCGUGAUUGGCUUAGAAUUGGUGGUUCCGCCUCAUCUCCUGUUCCUCGUUGGGUUGUGGACCUAGGGCAGACCCAUUACAUUCGACGUUUUAAUUACAUAUACCUUGGUGUAACUUUUUCAAUUAUAUUUAUGAUGGUUGUAUUUACUUUGAGCACUAUUAUACACGUUGUUGUGAUACUGUACAUGAAGUCCUCCACCCCUGGACGUUUCCGCCAUCCUUGGUUUGGGGGUGUGACAGUUAAAUUGAGUUGGGUUUCUGCGGGAUUAAAUUGAUGAAUGCAAAACCGAUGGAUUGAAGCUUUUAAGGUAAGUUUUUGUUGGUUUUUUGACAGCUCGAUUCAUUUGAAGGAAAAGUAAAACCGAUGUCCCCAGAAUAUUUGGAGAUUGAUUUUGAAUAUGUAGUGGUGGGUGUUUUUGAUCCAGUUGUAGGUUAGAGGUGCCAAUUGAGUUGGGUUUCUGCGGGAUUAAAUUGAUGAAUGCAAAACCGAUGGAUUGAAGCUUUUAAGGUAAGUUUUUGUUGGUUUUUUGACAGCUCGAUUCAUUUGAAGGAAAAGUAAAACCGAUGUCCCCAGAAUAUUUGGAGAUUGAUUUUGAAUAUGUAGUGGUGGGUGUUUUUGAUCCAGUUGUAGGUUAGAGGUGCCAGUCUCCUUUAGGUCUUUUUUGUUUGGGUUUUCGACGAAGAAAAGGGGAGGGAGGAAUAGGGGGCUGCAACGAAGCUUACACUCAAUAUUCAAGUGGAUUUGUGUUUUGUUGCAGAUUUUAAAGAAGAAGAAGAAGAAGAAGAAGAAGAAAAAGAAAAGGAGGAGAGAGAGAGAGAGAGACGAUAUGGUUGGGUGUAUAUUUUUUUUUAAUUUCUUUUUAUUUUGUAGUUAUAAAAACAUUAUAAAUGGUAAAAAUAAUGUAAAAAGGAAAUUAGAAGGGUAAAACCGUCAUUUCAAGUCUUCCAAGGACCAAAACCACGGGAAUCUUCUAAUUUUGGGACCAAAUUCACGAAAAAGUUUUGAUUUUGGACAUUCCAUGCAAGUCGAAAACUUUUUGGACUACAUCCAAAGUUUUUUACAAACCACAAGGACCAAAUUUGCAGUUUUGUCAAUAUAAUGGGGAAAUUAACAAAAAAAAAAAUCCAAAAACGUCAGUAUUAUGUUAUUGAAAUAUGGGCCUGUAAUUUGUAUCUUCAACUUUGAGAGAUUUUGUUUUACAUGGGUGAAUCAAAUUAAAAAGGGUCGAAUAUAUAUCUUUUUACUUAUACCUUUCAAUAUAAAUACAUACAUGAAUGAUGAUUGUAAUUAAAAGAAACUCUUAUUUGUCCAAUAUAUAUAUAUAUAUAUAUAUAUAUAGGGGGGAGGGGUGUGAGGAANNNNNNNNNNNNNNNNNNNNNNNNNNNNNNNNNNNNNNNNNNNNNNNNNNNNNNNNNNNNNNNNNNNNNNNNNNNNNNNNNNNNNNUGUACGAAAGUAUAAACUCAACAACUUCCCAACAUCAACAUUUCAUUUAAACAUGAAACAGUUGGUUUACAUCAACAAUUACAGGAGAAAAACCUCACUACAAUCACACUCAACACUCUAAUAACCAUUUAUGAACAGAUCGACUCAAGAACAAGUGAAAAAUAUAGAAACCCUAGUAGAAUACCCUAAACGGAGAGAAAAGCAUUGCGGGUGGAAAGAACAACAAAAUAUCUAUAUGACACAAAUGAACUGAACUCCAACAUUAAAUACUUCAGGGCAACCGGUAUCAACUGAACCCGACGUAUACGGGUUAAACAACCCGCGCUCAUUUACCUGCAUUUUAGAACAUAACAGAAAACACCCUUCUACAAAUAACAAAUGUCACAAGACGCCCAAAUAACUAAACAUCUUCAAAUGAUAAGUUUGCUAUCAAUAAUACCUUUUAACACCCCCUCUCAAACUUAUCAUUUAAAAAACUUAUUUUCCAGAAAACAAGUUUAACAGUCCAAGUAUCUUUGACAAAUACUCAUGUUGAAACGAAGUUAAUGACUUAGUUAAAAUGUCUGCAUUUUGAUUAGAGGAAUCAAUUUUAACUAACUUUAAAACACCAUUUUCAAUUUUUUCUCUCACAAAAUGAACAUCUAUUUCAAAAUGUUUGGUUUUUUCAUGAAAUACUCGAUUUAAAGCUAAUUUAAUAGCAGACUCAUUAUCACAAAACAACUUAACUGGAGUUAAAUUUUUAAAACCAAUAUCACUUAAAACUUUUAAAAUCCACAACACUUCACAUGUUACAGAACCCAAAGCACGAUAUUCGGAUUCUGUUGAGGAUCUGGAUACUAUGCUUUGUUUCUUACUCUUCCAAGAAAUAAGAGAACUACCUAAAUAUACCAAAUAUCCAGAAACAAACCUUCUAGUUGAUAAGCAUUUCGCCCAAUCAGCAUCCACAUAACCAAUAAUAUCAAAAUUGUUAGAUUUAGAAAACACAACACCUUUUCCAGGACACUCUUUCAAAUAACUUAACAAUCUGAAAGCAACAUUUAGAUGUUAUUUCCUGGGCUUAUGCAUAAACUGACUCAACACUUGAACUGCAUAACUAAUAUCAGGUCUAGUAACAGUGAGAUAAAUUAGUUUCCCUAUGUGUUUUUGAAACUCAGUUAUAUUACUUAUAAGAUCUGAAUUAUCGUCACAAUCUCUAUUAAACACAAAAUUAACUUCCAAAGGAGUUUUAACAGGUUUACAACCAAGCAUACCAAACUCACUUAAUAAUUCCAAACAAUAUUUCCUUUGAUUUAGACAAACACCACUAUAUGUAGAUAAUACCACAAUUCCCAACAAAUAUUUCAGUAAACCUAAAUCUUUUAUCCUAAACUGUGACUUAAGAAACACUUUAACAUUCUCAAUUUCUAUACUACUAUUACCAAUUAGAAUUAUGUCAUCAACAUAAACUAGUAAAAUGACAAUAGUAUUAUUUUUUGACCAAAAAAACAAGGAAUAAUCAUUUAGACUUUGUACAAAUCCAAAAACUGAAAGUGAUGAACAAAUUUUUUCAUUCCACUUUCGUGGAGCUUGUUUUAACCCAUACAAAGACUUAACAAGUUUACACACUCUACUAUCAUUUUUAGAAUGAUAACCUUUAGGCAAAUUCAUAUAAACAUCUUCAACUAAAUCACCAUAUAAAAAGCAUUAUUAACAUCUAAUUGAUAGAGAGGCCAAGAGUUAUUAACAGUAACACAUAUAAUAAUUCUAACAGUAACAAUCUUAGCAACAGGAGAAAAAGUUUCUUCGUAAUCUAUUCCUUCUCUUUGAUUAUAUCCUUUAGCAACUAGUCUAGCUUUAUAUCUUUCAAUCUCACAAUUUGAUUUAUACUUAAUUUUAUAAACCCAACGACAGCCUAUAACUUUUCUAUCUCUAGGCAACUCAACAAUAUCCCAAGUAUGAUUUGUAUAUAAAGCUUCCAUUUCCUCAUUCAUAGAUUUAAUCCAGUUUGGAUCAGUAGAAGCUUCUGAAUAAGUACUAGGUUCGAAUGUCUUAUUAAGAUUAGACACAAAGCAUUUACUAUCACUAGUUAACAAAGAAUAAUUCACAGAUUUUUCUAAACCAUACUUGUGAGAACUUUCCACAACAAAGUCAUUAAAUCUUGUUGGUAAACGAACAUUUCUACCAGAUCGAGUAACACCUAACAAGUGAUCAUCAGAAGGAUUAUUUUGUUCUAAGAUAUUAUCCUCAGCCAAAGUAGAUGAACUAGGAACAUCCACAACAUUUUGUUGCACAUGUGCCCUGUCACUCUGGUUGAUGACCUCAUUAUUAGGGGUCUCAACUAGGUGUUGAACUCCUCUAGUACCUUCAGACUAAAGGGUUGUUCCUAAGUUAUCUAAACUACUAUUUUCUUGAAGAGAACUAGAUAAUUGAGGCUCAUCAUUGGAAAAUGGGUCACUUGGAUUAUCAAAAACAUUAGUUUUAUCACUAAUUAAAGGUUUAAGCUUCUACGGAAAUAUAAAUUCAUAAAAUUUGACAUCCCUGGAAACAAAAACAAAAUUUGAAUCAAACCUCAAUACUUUAUAACCUUUUUGUUCCAAAGAAUAACCAAGUAAAACACAUUUUUCAGCACGUUCAUAAAAUGUAUCAAGAUUAUUCAAUUUUGUUGCAAAACAAAGACAUCCAAAGACACAAGUCUAUCAAAUCUAGGAAUAGAUUUAUAAACAAUUUCAUAAGGAGAGACUCCAUUUAAUACCUAAGUGGGAGUUCUAUUUAUCAAAAAAACUGCUGUUAAAAUAGAAUCACCCCAAAAAGUCAAAGGCAACCCUAAUUGAAACAUUAAAGACCUAGCUACAUUUAAAAUAUGCAUAUGUUUUCGUUCAACCGCCCCAUUUUGUUGAGGUGUAUGGACACAAGAAGUUUGAUGAAUUACACCUCUACUUUCAAAAAAACUUUUCAUGUUAUGAUUUAAAAACUUUGUUCCAUUAUCUGACCUAACCCUUUUAAUUUUAACUUCAAACUGAUUUAGUAAAAUAUUAAAAAAUGCUACAACACAAGAAAACACUUCACUUUUAGACUUAAGCAGAUUAAUGUAAGUUGCCCUAGUGAAAUCAUCCACUAUAGUAAGAAAGAACUUAAAACCUUCUGAAGUGACCACUCUAUAGGGACCCCAUAAAUCUAGAUGAAUAAGUUCACCUAAACAAGAAGUUACAUGCUGAUUAGUUGGAAAAGAACUCCUAGUUUGUUUAGCUUUAUGGAAAACAUCACAUGGAGGUAAGGAAUCAUUCCCAAAUUUAAGAUGAGUUUUUAAAGAGUUCAGAGCUUGAUUAGAAGGAUGACCAAGUCUAUUAUGCCAUGUUAAUUUUGAAACAUAACACACAACAAAAUUAGAGCUAAAGGAAUUACCAGAAGGUACACUAUCAACAUAAUAGAGACCUCCAGAUUCACUACCAUUCCCCACCAUCUCUUUUGAGUGUAAAUCCUGAAUUUUACAACUAUGUUCAUUAAAAACAACCUCACACUUAUUAUCUUUACACACCUUGUGUACUGACAUUAAAUUUACAUUAAACUCAGGAACAACAAAUACAUCAAAAAGUGUUAAGGUAUUUGAAAUAUUUAAGUUUCCUAUUUUUUCUAUUUUAGCACAAGUUCCAUUAGGAUGACUGACUAUAAGAUUAAGGUUAGAUACAUCCAUUGUAUCAUGCAAAAGAUAUUCUGAUGCUAUCAUAUGUUAACUAGCACCAGAAUCAACAAUCCAUUAUAAGAAGAAUUACAAACAUUAAACAAACAAGUACCUUCCAUAUUUGAACUGAUAGAUGCUUCCUCAUUAGACUUUCUUUCACCUAUUAGGCUAAGAAACUUGGCAUAUUGAUCCUUAGUAAGUUGAUGAAAUUCAGGCUCUCCAGGAUCAGAUGAUCCAGAAGUAACAACAGAUGAAUUUGUAUUAAAUUUUUUAAUUUGACUACUAUUUCAACUAACAUCACUCCUAGGUUUAUAGUCCUUUGGGUACCCAAUUAGUUUAUAACAUUUUUCAAUUGUAUGUCCUUUUAAUCCACAAUUCUUACACUGAACAGCUGAACCUUUGUUUCUAUUAUUAGAAUUACCAGAAAAUUUAUUAUUCAACUUACUAUUAAAAGCACUAGGUUGAUUUUUAAGACUAGAUUGAGAGUCAUUAGAAAGGGACCCAUUCCUUUGAAGAGACUCUUCACGAGAUAUAAUUGAAAAAGCAAUUUUAACAUUAGGAAGUGGAUCCAUAAGCAAUAUGUGACUCUUAACUUGGUUAUAAGAUUCAUCCAAACCACUGAGAAAUUGCAUGAGUUUCAUUAGUUUAAAGUGAUCAUUUAGUUUAACAGCAGCCUCACAUGUACAUUCAAUAAGACUGGUUAGACCAUCAAACUCCUUCCACAAAGCAUCUAGUUUAUUGAAGUAAUAAGAACUAGACAAACCAUCAGCUUUAUUAUUGGUUUCAAAUAAAUUUUCCCAAAUUUCUUAAGCAUUAUCUGAAUAAGCAUGACUUGCAUAUAUUGAAUCACUAAUAGAUGAUAACAGCCAAGAACACACAACAACAUUUGCCCUUUCCCAUUUUGACUCUUUAUUUGUUUCAACUUUAUCUUUUUGAAAAGUACCAUCAACAAAACCUAGUUUGUUUCUAGCCUUAAGGGCUCUACACAUAGAACUUCUCCAAAUACGAAAAUUUUCAUUUCCAGAUAAUUUCACAGUAACAAUAGUUGUAGUAGCAUUAUCAGAAGGAUGGACAUAGAGAGGACCAUCAAGAUUGAUUGAAUCAUCCUUUCCACUUCCUCCUGGAGGAUCAUUUGAACUAGCCAUAUAACAGGAAAGAACAACAAUUCACAAAUAAAGCUAAAAAGAUAACAACUAAUAAAAUAAGAUCAAGAAAACCACAAAAUAACAGCUAAUCAAACAAGAAAACAAAAAAACAGACUCAUGUAUUGACUUAAAGUCCAGAUGGUCACCACGUUUGUUGGGGCCCAAGACAAUCAAUACAGAGCCAAAAAACAGACAAGAAACAAACAAGAAUAAUUGGUGUACUCAAGACAACCAGGACCACCCAAUCACAAGAUAUGAAAAAGAGAUAAAAGGGAACAAGAAACCCCUCACAGUGCUAUUAGGAUGAAGCAGUCGAAGGAUCGACUCUAUCUGUCCGUUCUCUACUAAGGGUUUAUCGGUGAUGAACUCCGAUCCCUUGAGUGUUAUUUCAGACAGACAUAUUAAUCGAUAAAAGUUUGGAUGAUUUCAGUUCAACAGUUGUUCAAGAAACAAGGUAUCAAUACACCGAUCAGAUGUCGUGACCCUGCAAGAAAUCACAAAGAACACUCACAGUACCAAUCAUAAAAAAACAAAAAAUAAGAUCCGAUAAAAACCUAAGUCGAAGAACACUAAAACAAAUCGAUCUUGGUGAGAAAUCUAAAGGUUAUAAAACCUUAUAGAUCUCCGUCGACAGAUAAGUAGAUAACGGAAAUAAACAAGGUUAGAAACAACCUUUUCUGAUGUCUUCUGAAGAUGAAAAAACCUCCGAUGACUACCAAUGAAGAAGAGGACCUCCGAUGUACACCGACGAAGAAAACGACGAAGUCUCAAGCUCUGAUACCAUGUAGGAAAGUAUAAACUCAACAACUUCCCAACAUCAACAUUUCAUUUAAACAUGAAAUAGUUGGUUUACAUCAACAAUUACAGGACAAAAACCUCACUACAUUCACACUCAACACUCUAAUAACCAUUUAUGAACAGAUCGACUCAAGAACAAGUGAAAAAUAUAGAAACCCUAAUAGAAAACCCUAAACGUAGAGAAAAGCACUGCGAGUGGAAAGAACAACAAAAUAUCUAUAUGACACAAAUGAACUGAACUCCAAUAUUAAAUACUUCGGGGCAACUGGUAUCAACCGAACCCGACGGAUACGGGUUAAACAACCCGCACUCAUUUACCUAUAUUUUAGAACAUAACAGAAAACACCCUUUUUACAAAUAACAAAUGUCACAAGACGCCCAAAUAACUAAACAUCUUCAAAUGAUAAGUUUGCUAUCAAUAAUACCUUUUAACAUGAAGCCCAUUUUUUUUCAAUGUACCUUAAUUGUGUAUAUGGGUACCAAAUCCGUUCUUUAAUAAUAAGUGUUUAUAAUCUAAUAAUCAUAAUCAUUCAAAACCUAAUUCCCAUGCAGGUAUUCUACUGAAUAUAUUGAUAGAGAUUAUUAAAAUAAUAAAAAACAUAUGAAUUAUUUAAUAAAAUGAAUAGAAAGAAACCUGUAAACAAACAUCACUCUGUUUAUAUUUACCGAAAUAAACAUUUAAAGACUUACCAAACAUCAAUUUGUGUCCUAAAGUUUCAGUAGCACAAUACCUAUAAAGAAAAUAGAAAAAUAUAAUUAAUGAAAACAAAGGAAAUAUAUAAUUAAUACAUUAAGUGGUAAUAAUACCCUGAAAGUAAUGAGAUUUGAUUCACAUGGAGCCCAAUGUUUAAAAACUACAAGUGCAAUACCACCACUAAUUAUUCAUGGCGUAGCAAAAAGAGAACAGGGUCAGGAGCAGCAAGCAAAGACCGGUUAAACUUGUGAGCUACAGCAAGUCCACAUAAAAAUAAAUUAAGGAAAAGAAAAGAAGAGGUUGAAUUAUAGAGAAAGGGUUUUUAGAAAAUGAUUUUUGUGUUUCUAAUAACAAAUGUAUUUUUCGCCAAAAUCCUUCUGCCUUCUCCAAUUAAUGAGUACUUUGUAAUAUAAAUCGUGUCCAUUGAGGUUUCCAAAAGGAAUUAAUCAUGAAAGAUUAGUAUGUUUUGGUCUAAAAAUAACAUUAAAAAUUUUAAGGAAGGAGGGUACUUUGGUCUUGUUCAAAUGCUUUACUCAGUUAAAAAAAAAAAAAACAAAUUUAACAUAAUUAAAUGUAAAUAAAAAGCAAAACUUGACAUGCGUAGAUGAUUAAUGCAAAAAAUGUUAUUUCACUCAAAAGAUGCAUCUUUUGCAUCUAUUUCAUUCACUUCUACAUCAAGAUUUUGCUUCCACCGAAAAACCCUUCAUCGUCUUUCAAGAUUCAACCCUUGAUUUCUUGUUUGGUGGAAUUUGAAACCAAGCAUCGUAAUCGACGCUAACAUUUUCAACAUUAGGAAACCGGGAAAAAUCCUAAAUUCGUACAUCACAGAAGCCAAAAUCGGUAGAUGUUGGCGGUGGAGGGACUGAAGGAGCGAUGUUGGUGCGACGCUCACUUUUGCUAACCCUAAAAAAGGCGAUGAUUCUUAGAUAAAGGAGAACAUUAUGGAGGAAAAUGGAGUGGAAGAUAGAGAAGAUGAAGUGAUAAGAAAGCGGUGGAGAACCAGACGGACGUCGUAGCUCAUGUGCGGUGGUUUCUUGAUAAUAGAGAAUAACGAUCGAAGAUGGAGCAGUGAAGGGGUGGUGGUGGAAUGAACUGGAAGAAUUCCACGGUGAGUGAAGUAUGUAACACACGAAAUCUAGAAGGCUAAUUAUGAAAAAUAAAACAUCAUUUUGAAAGGUCUACUUGUCGAUUUUAAGGUAUACACACUCGACGAGUAGGAAUUAUGAGUCACACACAUUUUCGAAGAUCAACUCGACGAGUUGGUCGUUGAUAUGUGCAUAUUUAAUCAUUUAUUUUGUAUAAUGUCUUAAUAUUUUUUGGAUAUUUUAUCUCGAUUCAUGAACAAAAGGUACUUAAUUAUGUUAAAUUAUAUUUACAGCCUUAAAGACAUGCUCAAGUGAAAAAGGAAGAAGAACUAGCAAUUGGAAGCUUGGGGAUUAAUGUUUAAUGAAAUAAAGCUUAAAAGAGGAAGAACUUGACGAGUUGUCCAUCAACUCGACAAGAAGGUCAGAAUAUUCACGAACCAACACUCCUUUAUUGGCGAUCAGAAGGGUUCUUGAUGCUCUGAUUUUCGAGAAUUCGGCUUAGACAUCAAUGUAACGUCCGUAGAUCAGGACUAGUCAAUUUAGAGACGAUAAACGUCAAAACUGAAUUUUUGAAGGAAGAUUAUUUAAAAGGAGUAAUCUUAACUAAGUUUUAGUAUAUGUUACAAGGAUUUCGUACAUAUAAAGAAUGCCGAAAUCCGAGUUAUAACGAAGAAGUUAUGACCUGUCGAAGUUUCGCGACAGAACCGGUACGACACAACGUGACGUAAAUCGUGAAUUUACGUUAGAGCAAUAUUUAGCCUUAGUGAUCUAAAAGAAAGUCGUAGAGCUCGUUAAACCGUGAUCAUGCAUAAAAAGAACGCCCAAAAUUGACUUCGUAUGAGGAAGUUAUGAUUUUUCUAAGUUUCAGCUUAGUAGUAUGCAGCCCGAAACUCGAAUUCGAGAUCGAGUGAUUUCUAGCCGAAGUAAUCUAAAUGAGAAUCGAAGAUCUCAUCAUUAGUAGUGCAACGAUAAAAAUCAGACGAAAACGGACGUCGGAUGAAGAAGUUAUGAAUUUGUAACGGAGUUUUCCUAUCCCGGCCUACUAAAAAUAAAUGUCAAAAUUAGCCGACGGAGUCUAAACGAAAGAUGUAGAGUGUAGUCUCACCUACGCGUGGAUGUAAAUAAACGUCGAAAACGGAGUUCAUAUGAGGAAGAUAUGGAUUUUUGAAGUUUAUUAAAUAAUUAAAAUAUAUAUUUAAUCUUUAAUUCGGAUGUAUAUCCGAAGGAUUCAUUGCUCUUAUCCGAAGUACGUCUAGCAUACCCCGGUGCAUGAACCCCUCGGACUUGAGUGCCUCGCAUACGUAAGUGAUGACGUUAUUUGGCACUACGCCCCGCGUAGCUAAGCAUUACGCCCAACGUAAUGCGAGGGUUUAGCCCUAUAAAUACCUUGCAAGGGCAGCCGACAUUCUUGCUCAUUUUCUCUUCUCUCUCCCGUUUUACCUCGUUUUUUGUGCAAGAAAUAUCCCAAAGCCCCGAAAUUAAUACCGAGCCUCGAAGCAAGUCCCGAAGCCACGAAGAUCCCGAGAAGUGAAAUUCCCGAGCCGAAGCUCUGCCCACCGAGAGCCGGUUUUUUGUGAAGAUCUUCCAGAUCUACCGAAGAAUACUACUUCUACAAGUCGUAGUGUUGUACGAUCAUCUUCUGAUCAAGUGAGUGUGUGAUCACUUUCUUCUUACACAUAAAUAUUAAGUAUUUGCUAUAAAAUACGUGUUAUAUGUGUAUAUAUUGUUGUUUAUUUAAGAUGAUUGUGGAAUGGACGAAUUAUAUAGGUUUUAAUGAGUUAAACUGUAUAUGUAUUUUGUAUCUACAAAUAUGUUGGAGAGAACAAGGGUAAAUGAGAUUGUUGGUAUGGGAUAAAUGGAUAAAGUGGUUAGUUUUAGAUCCGAGAGUAUGGAUCAGAUCGAGAGGUUAGUUUUAGAUCCGAAAGUAUGGAUCAAAUCAAGAGGUUAGUUUUAGAUCCGAGAGUAUGGAUUGGGUCAAGAGGUUAGUUUUAGAUCCGGGAAUAUGGAUUAGGUAAUGAGGCAAAUUUAAGAUCCGGGAGUACGGAUUAUGUAUUUUUGAACUACGUGUUCAUUCGAUAAGGUAUCAUGUGUAUAUUCCCUUUUUAGGAACAUGAUUUUAAUACGAGUAUUGAUUAAAGUAUGAAAUAUACAUAUGUAUGUGAAGUAUAUGUUAUUGUCCGAAAUACGGGUUAGAUAUAUUUGAUGAUAUACAACGUGCGAAUCAGAUAUGGUUCAAUAUGUGUUAAGAUGUGUAUAUAUGAUAUUAUUACUUAAAACCUUGUGUUAAGUAUAACUAGUUGGCAUUGCCUAAACGGAGAUAGUAUCAAAAAAAUAGAUUAUAAACAUUGUAGGUUUGCCUAGUGAUGGGUUAAGACUUAAAUGGGAUGUUUAGUUCAAUUAAGUUUGGACAUUGGGUAGUCUCUUAUUAAGAGUACGUGCGUUGCGAGAUUGAUGAUCGGUGGAGUACGUCCUACGUACAGAAGUACAUAUUAUGUACGAAGUCCUUUUCAAAGCUCUGUGUCUUGGGCGCUGCUUGUGCCAAGGUACUAUUAUGUUCUUGGGCACGAGUGUUUCGCAUACCAGAGUACUAUAAUAUGCCAGAAGUACUAUCAUGUACAAAGUCUUUUUGACAAUUUUGUGUGUCGGUUACGGGAGCGUACAGGAGUACUCUAGUAGUGUUUCCCCAUACUUUUAUUUUGAGAGAGCUUUGGAGUCAUCGUUUCUUUUAUGAAGUGAUCGACCGAGCUUCAUAUGUCAGUGUUUUCUUUCACGAAGUAAUUAAGGGAACUUCGUAGACUGCCUAAUAAAGUGUGUCGGUAAUAGAACACUGCUAGGUAUGUUUGGUGUUAUAUUGAUGGAUAGGGUGCGUAUGGGGAUGAAAUACCUCAUGUAUUUAGGCCACUGCUAGGCAAAGUUCGAUGUUGUAUAGGUAGAGUAUUGGAGUAUAAUACCUCAUGAUAGUCGGACCACGCCUAGGCAUUGUUAUCUAGAUAACUACCCAUGACUUAAUUGUCUUGUGGUUCUUUCUUUUACGAACGAAGGUCCGUGGCGAAACUUAUUCCAUUCCCCUCAUUUGAUGUCUUUAUUGAUCCUCGUUUGCUGUUAGGGAAUUUCCGAAGCAGCUUCGUCAGUUUGUGGUUCAUAUCGAUUCCUUAGGCUAUAUCUCAUAAGAUCAUUGUAUAGGGUCAGUAUGUGGGGAUCAACGGGAUGCGAUAUAUUGUUUCAGAAAUAUGAUGUAUAUUUGUUUAUAAUAUUAGUGGUUUUGCAGGAUCGAGAUAUACUUUAUUAUCACAUUGUUUGAACUAAGAGCUUUCGUACUCUGUGUUCCUUAGGUGAUUGGGUUCACCAGGGAUAUUCGAACUAAGUGUUCAUUAGAUAUUUAAACUUAGUGUUCAUCAAGGAUAUUUGAACUAAGUGUUCAUUAAGUGUUUUUGAACUAGGUGUUCAUUGGGUAAUAUUGGAACUAAGUGUUCAUUGGGUGUUCUUGAACUAGGUGUUCAUUAAUUAUUGUGAACUGCGUGUUCACCAGAGGUAAUCUAAGAACCUUGGUAGCACUAGACUUUGUGCCAGUUCGUUAGGGAAUCCUUAGGAAUGAAUAGGAGAAGCGUAAUCGGUUCUUAGGAUAAAUCUUUAAGAAAUAAAUGGAGAUAAUGAGGGUGGGUAAUUGGAUUGAUUGUUUGAUAACUGAAUAUAAUAAUUACAUUAUUGUGGGUUGAAAACCCUAUAUGCUCACAAGGCCCCCAAGGCUGACCCUCUCGGUGUUCUUUGUAUUACAAGUUAUGGUACAAGAGCAUAAGUUGGCUGACAUAGCGAGAUAUUAUGGAUUAUAUGCCAGUAGUUAUGAAAAACUGUUGUAAGGUCUAUUUUUGUUCUGUUUAUGCUUUUGAUCUGUAUUGAACAUGACAUCCCGAGAUUUUGUUAUAAAAUGAAAAAUACAUUUCUUUAAAUAAAUGUUUUGAUAAAUUCUUAUCAUAUUUUGUUUUGGGAACGAAUUCCGCAACCGUUUUCUUUAAAAGGAUUACUCUGAUUUUAAAAACAAGCAUAAACAAUCGGUCUUUUCUGGCCGUGAAAUUGGGGAUGUCACAUUCAAGUUAAGAGAGAUCAAAGGUAAUAAACACUAUUCUUUUUCCUAAUAUUUUACAUAAACUAUGUUUACAUCAUUAUAUUUCGUUUUUAGGUUGUUAAUUGUUGUAUAUAUGAGCUUAAAGCUUAUAACUUAUGUUUAGAGUAGAUGAAUUUAUGAAUAUGGUGUGAUUUUAUGGCUUGAAUUAAUUUGAUUUGGUCUUGUUAAGCUUGUUAAAGACCCUUAUGUGUUGAUAACAAUUGUUUUUAUGUUAACAAUCAAGUUGUUGAGUUGCAUGAGCAUCUUCUUAAUUGCUUGAAUCAUAUAAUUUUGUGAACACAAUAUUGUAUGCCUAGUAUUAGUGAAUAUGAACCUAGGAUUAACUAGAAAAUAAGUAUAUUAAUGUGUAAGCAUGUAUGAUGAACAACCAUACAUGAGUUAAUUGAAUUGAAAAUUUUAGUUAGUUAAUAUUACAAGUCUUACUUGAUCCGAAUAAAAUAGUAGGAAUCAUGUUAGUUUAACCAAUUGACCACCAUUUGAAUUAACUUGUUUGCUAAGGAUUAGUAAUAGUGAACAUGAAUCUAGUCACAUUAUGAAUCGGUAGCCAAUGAUAUGUUAGUCCAUUGCACUUUCCAUGAAAUCAACCAUAGGAAUAAAUGAGUCGAAUCUGAACAAAAGUCUCUUUUAUCAUCGAAUCAAGUUACCUUCUAGUUGCUUUAGUCGUUAAUUGUUUUGUUAAAGUGUUAUUUGCUUAUUUAAGUCUUUACUCUUGCCAAGCUAGAGAAAACCAUCUUUUAUUACUUGUUUUUAAUUAGGUAAUUCUAGUAGUUAAUCUUAAUUGUAACUGUUCCCUGUGUUCGAUACCCUACUUGCUUGAACUAUAUUGUUAAUCGAUAGGUACACUGCUUUUCAUAUGUUUUUUUUUUGUGUUUGAAGUAGUAGGAUUAACACUGGUGCAUUUUACACACAUUAAGUUUUUGGCGCCGUUGUCGGGGAACGAUUUUAAUAGUUAUUUUAAUUGCUAGUGUUAUCGAUCAUUUGUGUAAGAUUUAACUUGCAUAAAGUUACUAAUUUCGUCAUCAAGUUACUUAGUUUAAGUUACUAGUUUUUUUGUUUUAAAAUUUUCGUUUUUAUUUUUCUGCGUUGGCGUUGAACUUGUCGAGUCCAGACGAAGCUACUCGACGAGUUGACAAAUUUUUCAGUUUCAUUUUGUUCGUUUUACGCGUGUUUUAUGUUUUUCUUUCAGGUAUUUUAUGACCCGUGGAUCAAAUACACCUUUGAUCCCACCACUUGAAGACCCAAAAUAAGAUUUUAAGAAGAACAAGGAUAAAACCGUAGGAGAAUCUGCAACCCCAAAGAAGUCACAUUUUAAGAAUCUCAAAUCGGUUUUUGGCAAGAAAAAGGGGAAGCAAGUGGGAGAAUCCAACACAACAUUGAAGGACGAAGACCCUAAGAAGGAGGAUACCAAGUACGAAACGGAAUUUGAAGAAGAAAGCGAGCAAGAAAUGCAACCCGUGAUUCCAACAACUGCUAACUUUGAAUUGAAAGGUCACAUACUUGCCUAACUCAAGGACAUCCCAUUCUAUGGGAAAGAUCACGAAGACGCAUACAAACAUAUCGACAAGGUCAACGACAUAACCGACCACUUCAAUAUCCCUAAUGUGCCUUACAAGAUUGUUUUGCUUCGUAUGCUACCGAUCACAUUUAAUGGCGUCGCGAAAGAUUAGCUUAAAUCACUCUUUCUAGGAUCCAUCACCACAUGGGUUAAAAUGUGUAAAUAAUUUAUUGAUCAAUUUUGUCCUUUCUCAAAAAUAGCAAAGUUGAAGAAAGUCAUUGCAAAUUUAGAACAACGAAUCACUCUAUGAGGCGUGAGAAAUAUAUAAAGGCUUGUUGAGGAACUGCCCCACAAUGAUUUAAACAUUCAACAAGAAGUCUUUAUUUUUUUUUUUUUAAUUUACCCCAUCAUGGAGGAUAAGAAAAAAAUAGUUAUAGAUUUUAAUUUUUGGUCAUAUGCUAUGGUUGUUUUAUUUUUCCCUAUUUUUAUGUGUGUAUAUUUGUAAGUUAUAUCUUAGGUUUAUUUUUUGAAAAAAUGUUAAUGUAGUGUGCCCAUUUAUGUAUGGUCGUUAAUUACGGCCUUUUAUGUAAUUUUUGAUAGCAAUAUAUUUGUUAAUUAGUUUAUAACUCGUGGGAACCACGGUUACAAAAUUAAUUAAACUUUCAUAGUAUAAAAAUUCAAAAUUAUUAAUCAAUUAUUUUAAAUAAAUUAUUAAUUAAGAGUUUUUUAUUAUAUAAAAUUAUAAUCAUUGAAUUAAAUAAAUAUAUGAAAUUACAUCACUUUAUAAUUUGUAUUAAUUUUAUUGUAGUUUUUAUUUUAAUAUUAUUAAUUUAAAGUAAUUAGAGUGGAAAAUUUAAAAUUUGAAAUUUGAAAUGAAAAAUUAAUAGAUUGACAAGUGACAUGCAUUAAUUAGGAAACUUAAUAGGAUGAUACAUGGCAAAACAAGAAUAAAAUAUGCAUUAAUUAAGAGACCUAAUAAGAUGACACAUGUUAAAAGGAGAAUAAAAUUAUUAUUUUGUUAGAAUAGGUAUUAUUUUGUUAGAAUAGGAUUAUAGUAUCAUUGUUUCAUUUAUUCUCUAAAACUAAGGGCCAGUAAUCACGAUCCGCGUUAGUCUGAUCUAACCAAUCAGAUCAGCUUUACACAGCCUAUAUAAACACAUCCCAAUACACCAACAAACGCAUCCUACCUUUCGAAUUCAUCAACUACAAACACAUUUUCUCUAUUUCCAUCUUCCCUCCAACCGUAUCAAUGGCACCCAAGGCAGCUGCCGGAAAGAAACCAGUAGCGGAAAAGGCCCCGGCUGAGAAGGCACCGGCGGAGAAGAAGCCCAAGGCGGAGAAGAAACUCCCAAAAGACGCAUCGGCUGCCGGAGCAGAUAAGAAGAAGAAGAGACACAAGAAAUCAGUCGAGACCUACAAGAUCUACAUCUUUAAGGUUUUGAAGCAGGUUCACCCUGACAUUGGUAUCUCUAGUAAGGCAAUGGGCAUCAUGAACUCAUUCAUCAACGACAUUUUCGAGAAGCUCGCUCAGGAGGCAUCUAAGCUUGCAAGGUACAACAAGAAGAACACUCUGUCUUCGAGGGAGAUUCAAACUGCAGUCAGACUUGUACUUCCCGGGGAGUUGGCUAAGCAUGCUGUGUCUGAAGGUACCAAGGCUGUGACAAAGUUCACUAGCGGUUAGAUUGUCUUGAUUUGUUAGUAUAUUUAGUAAUCUGGUUUUCGUUGGUUUUUGGGAUCCCUGAUGUAAUUACCUUCUAGCUGAAAAGUUCUGAAAUUGAAAUGAAACUAUCUUGUUUUGGUAAUUGAACGUUCUUAUUAACCAUCUUAUGUUUCUUUUUGAUUGCAUCAAAUGAAAUUGUGCUUGAUGGUCUUCGUUUUUAUCUAUUUGUAUUGUUUUGUAUCGAUUGCAUUCGACUCACACCAGGUGUUGUGAGGACACAUUUGUUGGAUUGAUUUUAGUUGCUGUGUCUAUGGCUUGUUUGCGCAACUGAGGUCCGAGGUCCCAACUCCCAAAACAGCCGAGCAAUGUUUUUCUUGCAUAUAAAAGAGAUCAUUGCUUCAGAGUUUUUUGUUGGUGUUGUACAUUGCAUUAUAUCCGUGUUAGUAUUGCUCUCUCUCAGUUAUUAUACUAUAUAGUUAGCCCAGUACGUUUAAUGAUGAGCAAUGGUUCAUGUGAAAAGUGAAAACCUAACUCUGAUAUGGAAUGCCUUUGAUGCCCUCUAAACAUAGAUCUGAAUUCAUGCUCUUCACCGGUGUCCCCUGCGCCAUUAUCAAUCUCCCUCCUAUUUCUUUCAUCACCUUGAUCUUUUCUUCGUUCUCUUGCCAUGGCUGGAAAUAUUACUAUUAAUAUGAAACAGUACGUGAUAGCGGACAUAAAAGCCCUACAAUUCCCAACAAAUCGGAAUGUUUGAACACAUGAUUUUUAUAAAGGGUGGUUACAUCCCAAUUUUCCAUAUAGACAUCUAUUUGAUUUUUAAGUUUUUUUUUAUUGGUUUAAUUUGGGGUAAAUGACACAACAAACACUCUUUUUAUAAAAGAAAUUCGAUUUUAACACCGUUUUUUUUUUUUGUCAAUUUUGACAUUGUAUUUCCAAUUUGUUACAAUUCUGACCACUUGACCGGUUAACCAGGUUGCAUGAUGACGUGUCAGUUUUUGAUGACGUGAUAUGCUGACGUGUCAAAAUUGAAUUUUUUUUUCUCACAAAAAACACUAAGUUUCCAUUUUUUUCGAUUUUGACACUAAGUUUAAUUUUUUCUUUCAACUUUGACACUAUGUUUUUUGUUCUAAAUCGAACAUUAUUUUUUCUAAUUUUGUUCAACGUUGACAAUUUUUCUAUUUGAAACCGUAUAAAUAUUUUUUUAAUAUAUUUAAACCGUAUAAAUAUGUUUUUUUUUUCAUUUAAAAACCAUAGUUUUGUAUAAAUACAUUUUUUUAACACUCAAACCAUAUUUUUAUGUAUAAAUAUGUAUUAGUUAUAUAAAAAUUGUAUUUUAUAUUAAAUAUGCAACUCUAAAAUGUGUUUGGAGGUUUGGAGGUUUGGAGGCGUGUAGUCGAUCAAAACUCGGAUAUCAAGUUUGCAACCCAUCAAAUUUUUACAUCUUAUUAGAAGCUGAUGAUUAGUUUAAUUCUCAUUAAAUAACUAAUGCUUUGAAUGUAAGAAAAAAAAACACCUUGUAUUUAAAUAAAAAUGUGGUUUUAAAACGAAAAAAAUAUGUUUAUACGGUUUAAAAUGUAAUAAAAAAAAAUAUAUUAAUACGGUUUCAAAUGUAAAAUAGACAAAAUUGAACAAAAUUUGAUAAAUGAUGUUCGAUUGGAACAAAAAAAAAACAUAGUGUCGAAAUUGAAAUAGAAAAUUAAACUUAGUGUCAAAAUUGAAAAAAAGUGAAAACUUAGUGUUUUUUGUGGAAAAAAAAUCAAUUUUGACACGUCAACAUAUCAUGUCAGCAUGCCACGUCAUCAAAACCGACACGUCAUCGUGCCACGUCAGCAUGUAACUUGGUUAACCGGUCAAGUGGUUAUAAUUGUAACAAAUUGGACAACACAAUGUCAAAAUUGACACAAAAAAAAAAACACGGUGUCAAAAUCGAAUUUCUGUGUAAAAAGAGUGUUUUUUGUACCAUUUACCCUUUAAUUUGCAUUGUUUUUUGAAAAAGUAAAUUUUAAUAGUUUAUUAUAGGUUUACUUUUAAUAAAAGUGUUUAUAGGUGUCUAAGAUGUGUCAAUUUAGCAACUCCCUUUUCAUAAUUAGUAAUGUUAUAUGAACCUUUAUGGCAUACAUCAUACCAACCUAUUGGGUCGAAGCUUUAUAUAUGACCAAUCACCUCCUCAACAUUACCCAAUCCACAUCUAUUGGGAACGAGAUACCAUUCGCCAAACUAUUCAAGAAAACUCCCUCAUUCUCACAUGGGAGUCUUCGAGUGCUUAUGUUACACACUUAUCAAUCCCCAACAUAAACUUACUACACAAUCCACUCCUUGUAUCUGAUGGGUUUCAAGCAAAACAUCAAUCCUAUGGUGUACAUGCAAACCCUAAUAGCUUUUGGAUCUAGUUUGUCUAAUAAACAUGCAAUUGAAUAUCCAAAGCUAUAAACCCUAGAUCCAGCAUACAAUUAAUCAUAUAAACAUAAAAUAGGGUUUAGAUCUGACCUUUGAUUGUUAUAUAGCAAUAACAAUCUAAUCAUUGGCUUCAGAAAGCUUAGUGCCUCAAGUGCUGCACCUCUAAUGGAGUUACAAACACCACUAAGCAACUUGGAUGAAGAGAGAGGAGAGAGGAGGCACCAAAAACGGCUGGAAACCCUAAUCUUAGUGUUGUCCAUGUUUUUGGUGCAUAGAAGACUUUUAUAUACAUGUAGGCUAUUAGGGUUUACAACUAGGAAACCUAAUCUGGCUGCUUAAGCCCUAAGCAGCCCAUGAACUCCUUUAACAUAUCUCUUGGACGAAUUCCUUAUGGGCUUCCCAUAGAAUUCGUCCAACCUAUAUUAUUUAGGUAAUCCAUAGCCCAAUUGCAAUUGUAUUAUAAUUACAAAUCCAGUCCCCUAAGUUUAAUUAAUCUCUUUUAGCCACAAAAUUAAUUCUUAAUUAAUUCUUGACUAAUAUUAAUUAAACAAUAUGAUUUCUCUUUUAAUAUAUUAUUCUCAUAAUAUAUAUUAAUAAAUCAUAAUUAAACCUUUCUCUCCUUAAUUCAUCAUACAUGUUGCUAUGGUGAAGGCAACCCAAAAAGACCAUGCUCAUAAUCGGGUCAAGUACAUACCAAAAUAGUUAUGGACUUAGACACUAAUCCAAUAGUAUCUUCAUCGGGUACCCAUCUAACCAUCAUGGAUACCGAUGUCUUGACCUCUCAUCUGGUAAAAUUAUCAUAUCUGGUCAUGUCGUUUUGACGAAUCCCCAUUCAUUUUCGAUCCUUGACUCCUAACCAAUCCCCACCAUACACCUUCCUUGAUUUGAAGGACUCACAUCCCCAGUGCGUCGUCAAUUUUUUGAGACACCGAAACAACCGCUCCACCUAAGAGAAUCCAACCCAACCCACCCCACUACCGAACAUCCACCUCUCCUCCCUACCACCUCGGCUAUAACCCUACCACCCCAUCCUCCUUCUACUCAUCCUAUGGUCACAAGCUAGAACAUAGUAUCAUUAAAUCCACCGCUUGCCUAAUCCUUUAUAGCACAAAUGAGUCACACACCCUCAAAUCCCACUUGCAUGCCCUUUGUUACCUUAACUGCUUGCCUUAUCCGUUAUAGCACAACCGAGUCACACACCCUCAAAUCCCACUUGCUUGCCCUUUGUUACGUUAACUAGAACAUUGCUAUAAAUGUAUGAUUUGCUGCUCUUAUGUCUAACAUAACUUACGCCUUGUUCCCCGUUAUUUUUUUGUAUAUUCAUUAAAGGAAAGGGAAGAAAAAUUUUGACCGAAAGAAAGGGAGGGGAAGGAAAAAUAUUAAUUAUACCGUGUUCCCAGGUUCGAAGGAACUGAAAAGAAAUGAGAGGAAAAUUUUAAGUUUUUGUGUUCCCAAGUUAGGAGGAAAAAGAAAAUAAAACUUGAAAUUUUCUUUCCCCUCACUUUCUUCCCAAAUCCGCCCAAUUUGGAAGGAAAAUAUGACUCCAAAAUUCUUCCCUUCCCUUCACUUUCCUCCCAUUUGCCUCGUUAAGUAGAACUCGGGAACAAGGCGUUAGGUAGUUGUUCUGAGGCCUCUAAGGGGAAAUAUUGUUCAUUCUAUGUGGUCAUUUAAAAAGAUAUACAACUUCAUUGAUACUAUUGAGUAUUGACCGGUAUAAAAAACAUUUGGUCGUUAAAGAGAAAAGUCAACGACCAAACAUCGAUUGUGCUUGAUUGUCAAACCAUUGGCGAUUUGAUAUCUUCUCAACAUAAUUGUCUCUUGUUACUGAUCGAUUCAUCAGUUGUGCAUCAAUAAGACUUUCUUGCAUAGUCACUUAAACAAGACUCUUUACAUGCAUCGACCUCUGAAUUUCGUGACCUCAAUCAUCAAAAUUAUGUAUGUUAUCCCUAGAAAUUCCUAUACAACAUGAAAGAGGCACCACAUGUGUGGUGUAAUCGAUAUGAUGAGUUUAUUACUUGGGUCAGUUUCCAACAACAAAACUAACUCCUCACUUUUCAUGUUCUAAUGGGGGAUGGUAACACCUAUAUUAUUUUCUACGUGGAUGAUAUUAUCUUGAAUGCUUCUUCCUCUGACUUAAUUAUUCGAAAUACCAUUUCUCAGUUCCUGACCAAGUUUGCUAGGACCGAUUUUGACGUCCUCUCAUAGUUUUUGGGUGUUUCAGUGGUCUGUGAUAAGACUGAUGUUUUUCUUUCUCAACACAUAUAUGCGUUCAAACUUCUAGUGUGGGCACACAUGUAAGCCUACAACCCCUGUAGCACUCUCACAAAAUUCUCAGUCGAAGCUCGAUCUCAUGGGUCCCACAUUGUGGAUCCCAUUUAUAUCGUAGUUUUCAGGCGACCUCUAGUAUUUGAGUUUUACUUGCCCCGAUAUCUCCUAUACUACACAAUAAAUAUACCUCUUCAUGCAUGACCCUGGAUGUAACAUCCGGUUUCGGGAAAUUUCUUAUUUAUGAAUGACAAACUUUAAUUUAGUCAAGGGUAGAUCUCGGGAUUCAAAGGAUAAAGUUUGGCGAGAAACGGUUGGAUCAUUGUCUUCUAAAAACCAUAAUUGGUAGGAGAUAAAGUAAACGAAAAUUUAUAGGAGUUGUGUAUGGUUUUCUCGGUUAUGGAUAAGGCUGUGUGUAACGACCGAAAAAUACAACCAAUUUUAACUUUUUCAAAAACAGCUUGAUUCCAUUAAAUCUUUACAAAAAGGUUUUCAAUAUAAACAUUUAACGUAUUCCCAGAAUCACAUUACUACAAAAUCACGAGGAACGGUACGAUCAUGCCUUCGCCUUGCCACAGUCUCCUGAAGAACCUGAAAAACAUAAAACCACAACUGUAAGCCUGAAAGCUUAGUGAGAUAUCCCCCAAAUACCAACCACAUAUACCAUACACGCAUAACAUGCCACAACAUAUCUGAUCACAGAACAGCCAUGCACUUCGGGUCUACUGUGUGACUGGUCCGCCGCACCGGCCUACAGUCCACCUGGUCCACCCUCUGAGUCUAUCCACAUACAUCGAGUCUGCAGUGUGAUUGGUCCGCCCGCACCCGGGCCUUCAAUCCACCUGGUCCACUCUCUGAGUCUACAGUAUGACUGGUCCGCCCGCACCGGGCCUUCAGUCGGCCUGGUCCACUCUCCGAGCCUCGGCACGUCUGGUCCGCCCUCUUGGGGCCUACAGCCUAUCCGGACCGCUCGCUGGGCCUUCGGAACAACCGGUCCGCCCUGGGUAUCUUGGCCUACAGCACAAAGCAGGACCCGCCUCAACCCAACUCCAGUCCAAACAACCAUGUGCACAUAUACAUACAAUCAUAUAGCAAUUCACAGUCAACAAGCAAAUCAAACAGAUCACAUAACAUAUCAUCAUCCUAACCAGGAUACCGACCUAACAGGUCACUAGCAUAGCAUCUCCCUAUCUCUCAGGAUACCAAACUCAAUCAGGUCUCUAACAUAUAUCAUCCUAACUCACAGGAUGCAAACAUAUCAAAGCAGCAACAUAACAACAACUACCCGGAUCUCAAUCCGAUAAGGGUCGUCCUUGGUGCCUUAGACCCUGUUGAUAUAGUGAGGAUAACUCACCUCGAAACUGUCGGUUGAAAGGAUAAGAUCCCGCUGCUCCAAGCUCCGACACGAACUCCUCCACUGAACACCAACACACUCAACUCAAUAAAUACCCUUUAUUACCAAAAUACCCCUGAAAGGCAACUAGUCAACCUUUGGACAAGGUCAAAGUCAACCCCUGACUGACUCUACUCGCCGAGUCAACCCGAUGACUCGCCGAGUCUCCAUACUCAGAACUUCCCUCAAUCUGCGACCUAACUCACCGACUUACUCCGAGACUCGUCGAGUCCAACAACUCUGAGUCCACUCGCACACAACUCACCGAGUCAUCCCUUGACUCACCGAUUCUCGACUCGACCAUAAAAUAUUGGGACUCUUCGACAAGACUCGCCGAGUCCAAGAACAGACUCGCCGAGUCUAAGGCUAUCUUCAACCUAGUCGCCGAGUUCCAGGCCAUCUUCAUCCAAGUCGCCGAGUUCCAGCUCAUCUUCAAGCAACUCGUCGAGUCCACCCAUGUGACUCGCCGAGUACCAACGGUUUGAAUCCAUUCAGAAGCACUCCAGGCCAUGCAAUUCAUCCACAACAUAGAUCUAGCCUCCUACAACCCAUCCAUCACGUAAAGUGGCAAACUUUACGUGAAUCCAAAGAGAUCUAGGCCUUUAACACUAUAUAGCUAGGGUUGGGACAUGAUAGCUUCAUUACACACUUGAACACAAGGACUUUCAGGCAUUCCAACCCUUCUCCAAUUCAGAUCUGAGGUAGCAACCUCAGAUCUAACCUCUAAACUCCAAAACCCCAAAAGAUAGGCUCCCACAAACCCCAUAAUGAAGAAUCCAAGAAUAACAGCCCAAGGACGAGAUAUUACCUCAAAAGAACACCCAAACUGCAAUGGAACUCGAAUCCAAGCAAAAACCCUUGCUCCAAACCUCUUCUUCUUCAAGAUCUCUUCAACAACCACCUCUCUAAGCUCCAAAUCACCCAACAAUGGGGUUUCUCCACGAAUUUAGGGUUUUUGGGACUCAAGGGGGUGAUAAGGAGGCUGGGGAGGAAACAUAAUGUUCCUUAUAUAUGGCUCAACUUCCGGAUUUAGGGUUUUCUCCAUUCAGUGCCUACUCGCCGAGUCGGCCACUUGACACGCGACCAAGUCGCGACUCUACUCGCCGAGUCCACCCAUGGACUCGCCGAGUCGCUCUAUCCCAUAUUACUCUUUUAGCCCUNAGAUGUUACACUGUGAUAGUCGCCAUGAUCAAUGAAUGUGAAAAUCGACCUAUGUGGUUGUGUUUUUUUCUUUUUUUUUUUUUUUUUUUUUUUUUUUUUUUUUUUUUUUUUUUAUUUCCNUACCUAAGACACACUCCUCACCAUCAUUGCUUAGCAUUCUAAGUUUAAGUCUAGAAAUAAAUCCAUAUUCCUAGUUCGCUUAAACUAAUGCUCUGAUACCAACUGUGACAUCCCCAUUUUCACGGCCAGAAAAGACCGAUUUUGUUUAUGCUUUGUAAAAAUCAGAGUACUUCUUUUCAUAAAAAUGUUGCGGAAUUUGUUCCUAGAAAAACAUGUUAAAUACGUUAUCAAAACAUUUUCGAAGAAACGUAUUUUAUUCAUUUUAAAACGUUUGGGAUGUCAUCGUUAAUACAAAAAUAUAAGCUUAAACAGAACUCACAUUUAUUUAUACUAGUGAUCUACAUCUCUUUAAUCUCUCAGUGUAAUGUGACUUCAUAACAACACCUGUGAUAUAAAUAAACUGAGUAGGUCAGGUUGGGAAACCUGGUGAGUACAUUGGGUUUUCAACCCACAAUAAUAUAAUUAUUAUGUUCAAUCAUCAAACAAUUAACCCAAUUACCCAUCCUUAUUAUCUUCUUUAUUCCUAAGUACCCUCCAUAAGGAUUUAUCCUAAGGGUCGUCUCCUACAUCAUAUUUUACCUCUCUUCUCCUUUUAUGUUUGUUCCUAAGGACUUUCCCUAAGGAUCAUCGCCUAAAUCGCCUAGACAGAAUUGAUUCUGGGAUUACUCCCUCAAUAUGUGCCCACCAAGGGUUUGGGUAUCAUCGCAUGAAUACGUAGUUACAACAUCGCCUGAACUCGUAAUUCAUAGUAAGGGGGUUAGAGUAUCAUCACAUGAAUACAUAGUUACAACAUCCCCUGAACUCGUAAUUCAUCACCUACAGGUUAUGAGCCUGCUGGUGUUUCCACGGGGUUGUCUAUAAUAGUCCGUGGUCGCCAUCUAUACUCUGGUAGAUGACUACAUCUCCAAAUUGUCGGACAAGGUUGUAGUAUCCUACAUCACCGAUUCAUAAUCACCUAUCUAUCAUCACCUUCCUAUCAUCACCUAUCUCUCAUUAUUUUAUUUCAUCACUCACCAACUAUUUCAUCUACCCAUGUUUUAUCCCAACAUAUUUGUAGAUAUAAAAUAAAUAUACAGUUUAAAUCAUUUAAAACAUGUAUAAAUCAUUCAUCCAGCAUAGACAAGAAGUAUUCAGAUAAUAUGCACACAUAACACGUAAUUUAUGUAAAAUAAUUCAUAUCUAUGUGUAAGAUGAAAGUAACUAUGCACUCACUUGAAAGGGGGUGACUCAGCACUCGGACAACGUUUCGAUACUCUCAAAACAAUUUCCUUUGAUAAAACCUAAUAUCAAUACCACUAGGGUUUAGUCUAACGAUAACUAUGACAAAUUAAUACUCUGACUACUAUUAUUAUUAUAUAAGUGUUAAAUAACACUCAAUAUAACUCAUAAUAAUAGCCUAAAUAAUUAUUUUAAGGACCUAAUAACAUUACUAUAAUUAUUUGGAAGCUAUAUUAAAAAUUGCGUAAGCGUAGCUCACUUACAGCGAAUUUUAAAGAAAACCGGGCUUUGCUCGGAGCAGCGUUUCANCAGCGUUCCCGAGCCGAAAGGCUCUUUUCUCGGGACUCCGGGAGCCUCGGGGCUUCCUUCGGGUGCUAGGGGGUUUACCUAGGCUUUAGGGGGCUUAAGGGGGGCUAGAGAGAGAAAGUGGAUGAGGAAAGGUGUGAGAAUGAACGGAACUCGACACAUCUAUUUAUAGUGUGAAAUCCUGAUGGACUCGCCGAGUAGGAGGACCUACUCGACGAGUUGGUUCCAUGUGUCAUCAUCUGAUGGCUUUCCUUGGAGAGAAAGCAAUGGCUGUGAUCGCGCCACGUCACCCAAUAUCGCGUAUCGGCUUCCUGACUUAGAAAAAUCAUAACUCUCGCAUACGAGCUCCGUUUUUGACGUUCUUUAUAUCCACGCGUAGGUAAAAGCAAAAUCUACAACUUUCCUUUAGACUCCGUCGGCUAAUUACCGACCGAUCUUAAAUUUAACAGUAGGAGGAGUUUAGACUGUUAAAUGACCGCGAAGAAUUCGUAACUCCUUCAUACGAACUCCGUUUUCGUCUAUCUUUUUACCGUUGAGUUCCUAUUAAUGAGAUAUUCAACUCUCAUUUAGGUCGCGUAAGCCAAAAACCGCUCGAACUAAAAUUCGAGUUUCGGGGCGUGCACUACUAAGCCGAAUCUUAGAAAAAUCAUAACAUUCUCAUACGAAGUCAUAUUUGGGCGUUCUUUUUAUGGAUGUUCUCGGUUUAACGUAUACUACAACUUUGGUUUAGAUCACUAAGGCUAAAAAGUCAUCUAUCUUAAAUUCACUAUUUACGUCUCCCGGUGUCGUGCCGGUUUUGCCGUAAAACUUCGAUGGGCCAUAAGUUCUUUGUUAUAGGUCGGAUUUCGGCGUUCUUUAUAUGUACGGAAACCUUGUUACAUAUUCUACAGAUUGGUUAAGAUUAUUUAUUCUAAACAAUAUUUUGUCGAAAAGUCGUUUUUGACCCCUAUUGCCUCUAAAUUGACUAGCCCGGAUCUGCGGGCGUUACAUACAGUCUACUCCUUGUACUAAUAUUAUCUUGUCUGAUAAAGACAAUCUCAAAGUAGGUUGCCAUUUUGACAUAUUAUUGAAGUUGGAAAAUCUAUAAAAUAGCAACAUACUUUGAGAUUGUACUUUCAUUUUUUUCUCUGACUUGUAAAACUUUAAAAUAUCAACCAUUUUUACUACCACAACAUCUAAUUUUAUUUUUUUUCAUUAAAAUUUUGUAUUUUAUUUUUUUUCAUUAAAACUAUAAAUUGUAUUUUGUAUUUGGAAUCCAUAUAGAUUAUAGAUUAGCAACUAACAAAGGGUAUGUAUUGACUAUUGAGUUAUUUUUUAGAGUACCUCCAUUGUACAUAAGUACCCCUUCAUUAGGUUUUCAAAUGUAUGCAUCAGGGUUUUUUCAUUCGAACACCUAAAAAUAAGGAACUUAUUAUUACUUUUCCAAUGUUAACCCUAUAGUCAAACAACUUUGUUUAUGUAAAUCUAUAAAUUUUGUUGUUAAAAUUCACAAAAAUGGAUAUAUAUAUAUAUAUAUAUAUAUAUAUAUAUAUAUAUAUAUANUCAUGCUAUAUUUGAAAAAAGUUGAAAGUAAAUUGAAAUUUUUUUUAUUUACCUCAAUCAUGGAAAAAAAACACAGAAGAUAUCAGUAUAUUUUCAUUUUUUUUUGUCUCUAUACUAUCAUUGUUUUCGUUUUGUUAUUUUCAGUUACAUAUUUUCCUCAUUUUUUCAUCUAAUUAUGUAAAUUUAUCUAAUUUAAUUUACUAAAGACCUUUAAUGUAUAUAUUUUUUAAAAUCUAAACACAAACACCAUCACAACAAUAUACAUUCAUUUUUAUUUUUGUCAUAUAUAACAUCAUUGUCAUAUGUUAAUUAAUAACAACAUAUUUUCAAGUUUGAUGCAAAGUCAAAAAAAAGUUUAAGAAAAUGGCAACUUUACGUGAAAGUAAAUUGCUACUUUUUCAUUUACCCCAUCACGGAAGAAAUGCGGAAAAUAGCAAGACUUUUUUUUUUUUUUUUUUGUUGUAAUGUGCUAUCAUUGUUUUCUUUUUCCUCUAUUAGGUUCAUUUUUUUGAAUAAUGUGCUAUCAUUGUUUUCUUUUUCCUCUAUUAGGUUCAUUUUUUUGAAUAAUGUGCUAUCAUUGUUUUCUUUUUCCUCUAUUAGGUUCAUUUUUUUGAAUAAUGCAACUAUUGACAUUUUAGGUAAAAUCUUCAAAAAAAUCUUAAACUUUUGAAAAAAGUUUCAAUUUAGUCUUAAUUUUUUUUGAAUAGAAAAAUCCAAGAAUUUUGAGGUGUUGAGCAAGUCAUCUAUACCACAUGGUCAAAAAAGAUUAAAGUGUAAGGUUUAAACGGUUUAUUGGAUUUUUCUAUUUAAACAAAAGAUUAUGACUAAAUUAAAACUUUUCCUAAUAGUUUGAGACUUUUCUGAAUAUUUUUCAAAAUUUUAACUGAGAUGAGGAUUAUUAAGGACAUUUUAUGUAAAAAAAAUAACUGGGCCAUACCUUUGACAUUUGCAAUCAAUUUUUAUUUUUGUUUUUCAAAUAAUUUGAUAACGGCGUUCUCUCUAAAAUAGCAACAUAUUUUCAAGAGUUUUUCAACUUUUUGUUAACUAUACCAUUUUAGGGACCUUUUUUUUGAAAUAGUUUUGAUAGCAAUCAACGGCCAGUAAUCACGAUCCGCGUUAGUCUAAUCUAACCAAUCAGAUCAGUUUUACACAGCCUAUAUAAACACAUCCCAAUACGCCAACGAUCACAUCCUACUUUUCGAAUUCAUCUACUACAAACACAUCUUCUCUAUUUCCAUUUUCCCUCCAACUGUAUCAAUGGCACCCAAGGCAGCUGCCGGAAAGAAACCAGUAGCGGAAAAGGCUCCGGCUGAGAAGGCACCAGCGGAGAAGAAGCCCAAGGCGGAGAAGAAACUCCCAAAAGACGCAUCGGCUGCCGGAGCAGAUAAGAAGAAGAAGAGACACAAGAAAUCAGUCGAGACCUACAAGAUCUACAUCUUUAAGGUUUUGAAGCAGGUUCACCCUGACAUUGGUAUCUCUAGUAAGGCAAUGGGCAUCAUGAACUCAUUCAUCAACGAC